AGGACGAACGCUGGCGGCGUGCCUAAAACAUGCAAGUCGAACGCGAUGGCCCUUCGGGGCCUGGGAGUGGCGAACGGCGGAGUAAUACGUAAGCAACGUGCCCUGAAGUCUGGGAUAUACCGGGGAAACCCGGGGCAAUACCAGAUGUGGUCACUGUCUGGCAUCAGGCGGUGAUUAAACGGUUUUUCGCUUCAGGAGCGGCUUACGGCCUAUCAGCUAGUUGGCGGGGUAACGGCCCACCAAGGCUUCGACGGGUAACUGGUCUGAGAGGACGACCAGUCCGAGUGGGACUGAGACACGGCCCACACACCUACGGGUGGCAGCAGUUGGGAAUCUUGCACAAUGGGGGCAACCCUGAUGCAGCGACGCCGCGUGGAGGACGAAGGAUUUAGGUCUGUAAACUCCUUUUGCCAGGAAAGACUUAGGACGGUACCUGGCGAAUAAGCUCCGGCUAACUACGUGCCAGCAGCCGCGGUAAUACGUAGGGAGCGAGCGUUGUCCGGAUUUACUGGGCGUAAAGGGCGCGUAGGCGGUCUGUUAAGCGUGAAGUGAAAUCUCCAGGGCUCAACCCGGAAACUGCUUUGCGAACUGGCAGACUAGAGGAAGGUAGAGGUAAGUGGAAUUCCCGGUGUAGCGGUGACAUGCAUUGAUACCGGGAGGAACACCCAUGGCGAAGGCAGCUUACUGGACCUUAUCUGACGCUGAGGCGCGAAAGCGUGGGUAGCAAACAGGAUUAGAUACCCUGGUAGUCCACGCCCUAAACGAUGGACACUAGGCGUCGGGGGUAUCGACCCCCCCGGUGCCGCAGCUAACGCAAUAAGUGUCCCG
rnacentral:rRNA from 1 species